AUGCGGUUCUUCGAUGGACGGAAUUACAGGAUCAAUAAAGUCCUCCUGUCAUGUGUCGGACAAUGGCCAUAUCAAACGAAUAGAAGUAGCAAUGCUAUAAUUAUCAUUAUGGUGUCUUUAGCUGGCACGCAAUUUAUCGCCAAGAUAUGUGGUUUGUUCUCUAUUGAUAACGCCGAUGUAUUUAUCGAUUCUUUUUCACCAUUGAUAGUUGAUUUAGCAUGUGGUGUAAAAUUAAUCACUUGCAUAUUAAAAGCAACUGAGAUCAAGGCACUUUUUAAUCAAAUACAAUCCGAUUGGCAAUUAUUAACAACACCUUCAUACAUCAAGGUUCUUAAUAAUUACGCGCAAAAUGGACGGACAUUUACGAUCAUAUACGCCAGUGUUUUUUAUUCUGCAUUGAUAUUAUUUAUGUUAAUACCAUUGCAACCAUUGUUACUGGGUCCUUCUUCAAAUGAUACAAGUCGACCCGCGUUGUUACAUCAAGUUGAGUAUUAUAUCGAUAUGGAGAAAUAUUACUUUCCAAUCUUAAUUCAUGGGUACAUUACAGCUGUCAUUUGUGUAAGCAUAGCCAUUGCAGCAGAUACAAUGUAUGUAAUAGUUGUACAACAUGUCUGCGGACUAUUUAUGAUCAUCGGGCAACAACUAGAAAAUGCAAUAAAAGAAGAUAAUAUAGAAAUAAAUUUUAAGCCAUCAAUAACAGACGAUAAGCCGUAUGGCAAUAUUAUAAGCAGUAUUCGUGCACACAAGAGAGCUCUGAGAUUUGCCAGUCUCAUUGAAGCAACGUUUAGCCCAAUGUUUCUUGUAGUAGCGGGUUUCAACAUGGUCAUCAUAAGCAUGACAGGUGUCACGGCAGUCUCAAAUAUGGACAAACCGGAAGAGUUUUUUAGACAAAUAACAUUUUCAUGUGCAUUAUUAGUGCAUCUAUUUUUUGAGAGUUUUCAAGCGCAUCGUCUAAUUGAUCAUAGCACAUAUAUUCACACCAGUUUAAUAAACCUAGCAUGGUAUGAAACUUCAUUUCGGACAAGGAAACUCUUAAUCUUCAUGUUAAUGAAAACGCGAGAACCCUGUGUAUUAACAGCAGGUAAAAUGUUUGUCAUAUCCAUGGAUACUUUCUCUACGAUUGUACGUACAUCAGUGUCAUAUUUCACAAUGUUGCGUUCGAUGCAAUAGUUUAUUUACAUUGGUAUUACGUUUUAAAAUCUAAAAUACAUUAUUAUAAGAUAUAAAUAGUUCAUUGUACUGUUUUGACUGAGAAGAAGUUUAAAAUUAAGAGAUAUGACCCACUUAACAUGAAACCUUCAGGGAACGUUACAUUUUGACCCUAAUUUAGUGAAUUUGUAACGUUUUAUAUGUAUAGAAUGAAAUAAAAAAAUUCCACAUUGCAUGCCAUUUGACCUUCUCAAAAACCAGAAAUUGGAAAGCAAGCGACAUUACGCCGUCAUAUUUAAACUAGAAAAAAAUUUGAUUUAACAAAUCUACGAAUUAUAAGAAAUAUAUAAGAAAAGUUAUGGACAGUUCAUUAAAAGUCUUGUACUGCAAAAA